rnacentral:rRNA from 1 species
GAUCGUGAGUAGACUAACAGGAUUCCCCUAGUAACUGCGAGUGAAGCGGGAAAAGCUCAAAUUUAAAAUCUGGCGGUCUUUGGCUGUCCGAGUUGUAAUCUAGAGAAGUGCUAUCCGCGCUGGACCGUGUACAAGUCUCCUGGAACGGAGCGUCAUAGAGGGUGAGAAUCCCGUCUUUGACACGGACUACCAGGGCUUUGUGAUGUGCUCUCAAAGAGUCGAGUUGUUUGGGAAUGCAGCUCUAAAUGGGUGGUAAAUUCCAUCUAAAGCUAAAUAUUGGCGAGAGACCGAUAGCGAACAAGUACCGUGAGGGAAAGAUGAAAAGAACUUUGGAAAGAGAGUUAAACAGUACGUGAAAUUGUUGAAAGGGAAACGCUUGAAGUCAGUCGCGUUGGCUGGGGAUCAACCUUGCUCUUUUGCUUGGUGUACUUUCCAGUUGACGGGUCAGCAUCAAUUUUGACCGGUGGAUAAAGGUCAGGGGAAUGUGGCAUCCUCGGAUGUGUUAUAGCCCUUGGUUGCAUACAUCGGUUGGGAUUGAGGAACUCAGCACGCCGCAAGGCCGGGUCUUUGACCACGUACGUGCUUAGGAUGCUGGCAUAAUGGCUUUAAUCGACCCGUCUUGAAACCGGGAACCAAGGA